GGAGUCAGACUGCACGAGAUAAGUUGGGUAGUCAAAAGGGAAAGAGCCCAGACCUGCAGCUAAGGUCCCAAAAUGUGUGUUAAGUGGAAAAGGAUGUGGGAUUUCAAAGACAACCAGGAUGUUGGCUUAGAAGCAGCCAUACAUUAAAAGAGUGCGUAAUAGCUCACUGGUCGAGUGACUUUGCGCGGAAAAUUUAACGGGGCUAAAAUACACACCGAAGCUUGGGCUUGACGCAUUGCGUCAGGGGUAGGGGAGCGUCGUGUAAGGGGCGAAGUCGUAUCGUAAGGGACGGUGGACUUUACACGAGUGAGAAUGCCGGAAUGAGUAGCGAGAAUUAUGUGAGAAUCAUAAUGGUCGAAAGCCUAAGGUUUUUGGAGGAAGGUUCGUCCGCUCCAAGUAAGCCGGGAGCUAAGGUCAGGCGGAAACGCGUAGCCGAUGCACAUACGGUUGAAAUUCCGUAGCCUCAGAAAGAUUUAAGCAGAGGGACACUUUGAAAGGACUGUAGCCGGGUGUUGGUUACCCCGGUCGUAAGGGAACGAAAUUAAGUAGUGAAGGCAGUCUGGACGGAGGCGAGAAAAGCUCUGUGUAUAUCUGAUGAGCCCGUACCGCAAACCGACACAGGUAGGUGGGAUGAGAAUUCUAAGACCAACGGGAGAAGGGUAGUUAAGGAACUCGGCAAAUUGUCCCCGUAACUUCGGAAUAAGGGGAGCCUGCGAAAGCAGGCCGCAGAGAAUUGGCCCAGGCGACUGUUUAUCAAAAACACAGCUCUAUGCUAAAUCGAAAGAUGACGUAUAUGGGGUGACACCUGCCCGGUGCUGGAAGGUUAAGAGGAGAUGUGAGAGCAUCGAAUUGAAGCCCCAGUAAACGGCGGCCGUAACUAUAACGGUCCUAAGGUAGCGAAAUUCCUUGUCAGGUAAGUUCUGACCCGCACGAAUGGCGUAACGAUUUGGGCACUGUCUCAACAGCCUACCCGGCGAAAUUGUAGUACCGGUGAAGAUGCCGGUUACCCGCGACUAGACGGAAAGACCCCAUGGAGCUUUACUGUAGCUUAAUAUUGGAUUUCGGCAUUUCAUGUACAGGAUAGGUGGGAGACUAGGAAACAUAGGCGUCAGCUUAUGCGGAGUCGUCCUUGGGAUACCACUCUUGGAGUGCUGAAAUUCUAACCUGCAGCCCUGAAUCGGGUUGGGGGACAUUGUUAGGUGGGCAGUUUGACUGGGGCGGUCGCCUCCAAAAAGGUAACGGAGGCGCUCAAAGGUUGGCUCAGCAUGGAUGGAAACCAUGCCAUAGAGUGCAAACGCAAAAGCCAGCCUGACUGCGAGACUGACGGGUCGAGCAGAAACGAAAGUUGGAGUUAGUGAUCCGGCGGUAUGUGAAUGGAAAUGCCGUCGCUCA
rnacentral:rRNA from 1 species